rnacentral:tRNA from 1 species
GCCUGGGUGGCUCAGUCGGUUAAACCUCUGACUUCAGUUCAGGUCAUUGAUCUCAGGGUUCGUGAGUUCAAACCUCACAUCAGGCU